rnacentral:misc_RNA from 1 species
AACGCAUAUUGCGCCCGCCGGCAUUCCGGCGGGCACGCCUGUCCGAGCGCCAUCGAAAACCCUCGAGCCCAGGCUCGCUGUUGGACGACGCCCGCGGGGGCGCGCUCCUAAACACGUCGGCGGCCGCCGUUCCGGCCCCGGAAGCGCACCGCGCCUCACGGCCACGCGCAUGCCGGGAGGGACGGCCGGCCCGCCCCGCACCCACGCGGACCACACAGAACACAUGAAGGCCUCGGAUCAGGCGGGGUUACCCGCUGAACUUAA